rnacentral:rRNA from 1 species
UGCGCAGGCGGUGAUGUAAGACAGAUGUGAAAUCCCCGGGCUCAACCUGGGAACUGCAUUAGUGACUGCAUCGCUGGAGUGCGGCAGAGGGGGAUGGAAUUCCGCGUGUAGCAGUGAAAUGCGUAGAUAUGCGGAGGAACACCGAUGGCGAAGGCAAUCCCCUGGGCCUGCACUGACGCUCAUGCACGAAAGCGUGGGGAGCAAACA